rnacentral:lncRNA from 1 species
UUCUUUUGAAAAUAUAACAGAAAAACAAUAACAAGUUAUUUCUAUUCUACUUUUGAGAGAGAGAAGGUUAAUGAAAAGUGUUCUUUUGGUGGAGCUUUGGGCUCAUCCACUUGUGCAGAGUUGGUGAAGCCACAUGAUGAGGGUCGAGCUGUUAUAUCCUGGAGGGGACAAGUCAGUAUUUGUAAUACACUGAACUUUAGCAAAUUGCGAAGUUCGAGUGUGUGGAAUGAUAUGUGGAUCUAU